rnacentral:rRNA from 1 species
GUCCGCCUACGGGGGGCAGCAGUGGGGAAUUUUGGACAAUGGGCGAAAGCCUGAUCCAGCUAUGCCGCGUGAGUGAAGAAGUAUUUCGGUAUGUAAAGCUCUAUCAGCAGGAACGAGACAAGACGGUACCUGACUAAGAAGCCCCGGCUAACUACGUGCCAGCAGCCGCGGUAAUACGUAGGGGGCAAGCGUUAUCCGGAAUCACUGGGUGUAAAGGGAGCGUAGACGGCUGAGCAAGCCUGAAGUGAAAGGCGGGGGCCCAACCCCCGGACUGCUUUGGGAACUGUACGGC